GGUUAAGCGACUAAGCGUACACGGUGGAUGCCCUGGCAGUCAGAGGCGAUGAAGGACGUGCUAAUCUGCGAUAAGCGUCGGUAAGGUGAUAUGAACCGUUAUAACCGGCGAUUUCCGAAUGGGGAAACCCAGUGUGAUUCGUCACACUAUCAUUAACUGAAUCCAUAGGUUAAUGAGGCGAACCGGGGGAACUGAAACAUCUAAGUACCCCGAGGAAAAGAAAUCAACCGAGAUUCCCCCAGUAGCGGCGAGCGAACGGGGAGCAGCCCAGAGCCUGAAUCAGUGUGUGUGUUAGUGGAAGCGUCUGGAAAGGCGCGCGAUACAGGGUGACAGCCCCGUACACAAAAAUGCACAUACUGUGAGCUCGAUGAGUAGGGCGGGACACGUGGUAUCCUGUCUGAAUAUGGGGGGACCAUCCUCCAAGGCUAAAUACUCCUGACUGACCGAUAGUGAACCAGUACCGUGAGGGAAAGGCGAAAAGAACCCCGGCGAGGGGAGUGAAAAAGAACCUGAAACCGUGUACGUACAAGCAGUGGGAGCACGCUUAGGCGUGUGACUGCGUACCUUUUGUAUAAUGGGUCAGCGACUUAUAUUCUGUAGCAAGGUUAACCGAAUAGGGGAGCCGAAGGGAAACCGAGUCUUAACUGGGCGUUAAGUUGCAGGGUAUAGACCCGAAACCCGGUGAUCUAGCCAUGGGCAGGUUGAAGGUUGGGUAACACUAACUGGAGGACCGAACCGACUAAUGUUGAAAAAUUAGCGGAUGACUUGUGGCUGGGGGUGAAAGGCCAAUCAAACCGGGAGAUAGCUGGUUCUCCCCGAAAGCUAUUUAGGUAGCGCCUCGUGAAUUCAUCUCCGGGGGUAGAGCACUGUUUCGGCAAGGGGGUCAUCCCGACUUACCAACCCGAUGCAAACUGCGAAUACCGGAGAAUGUUAUCACGGGAGACACACGGCGGGUGCUAACGUCCGUCGUGAAGAGGGAAACAACCCAGACCGCCAGCUAAGGUCCCAAAGUCAUGGUUAAGUGGGAAACGAUGUGGGAAGGCCCAGACAGCCAGGAUGUUGGCUUAGAAGCAGCCAUCAUUUAAAGAAAGCGUAAUAGCUCACUGGUCGAGUCGGCCUGCGCGGAAGAUGUAACGGGGCUAAACCAUGCACCGAAGCUGCGGCAGCGACGCUGAUGCGUUGUUGGGUAGGGGAGCGUUCUGUAAGCCUGCGAAGGUGUGCUGUGAGGCAUGCUGGAGGUAUCAGAAGUGCGAAUGCUGACAUAAGUAACGAUAAAGCGGGUGAAAAGCCCGCUCGCCGGAAGACCAAGGGUUCCUGUCCAACGUUAAUCGGGGCAGGGUGAGUCGACCCCUAAGGCGAGGCCGAAAGGCGUAGUCGAUGGGAAACAGGUUAAUAUUCCUGUACUUGGUGUUACUGCGAAGGGGGGACGGAGAAGGCUAUGUUGGCUGGGCGACGGUUGUCCCGGUUUAAGCGUGUAGGCUGGUUUUCCAGGCAAAUCCGGAAAAUCAAGGCUGAGGCGUGAUGACGAGGCACUACGGUGCUGAAGCAACAAAUGCCCUGCUUCCAGGAAAAGCCUCUAAGCAUCAGGUAACAUCAAAUCGUACCCCAAACCGACACAGGUGGUCAGGUAGAGAAUACCAAGGCGCUUGAGAGAACUCGGGUGAAGGAACUAGGCAAAAUGGUGCCGUAACUUCGGGAGAAGGCACGCUGAUAUGUAGGUGAAGUCCCUCGCGGAUGGAGCUGAAAUCAGUCGAAGAUACCAGCUGGCUGCAACUGUUUAUUAAAAACACAGCACUGUGCAAACACGAAAGUGGACGUAUACGGUGUGACGCCUGCCCGGUGCCGGAAGGUUAAUUGAUGGGGUUAGCGCAAGCGAAGCUCUUGAUCGAAGCCCCGGUAAACGGCGGCCGUAACUAUAACGGUCCUAAGGUAGCGAAAUUCCUUGUCGGGUAAGUUCCGACCUGCACGAAUGGCGUAAUGAUGGCCAGGCUGUCUCCACCCGAGACUCAGUGAAAUUGAACUCGCUGUGAAGAUGCAGUGUACCCGCGGCAAGACGGAAAGACCCCGUGAACCUUUACUAUAGCUUGACACUGAACAUUGAGCCUUGAUGUGUAGGAUAGGUGGGAGGCUUUGAAGUGUGGACGCCAGUCUGCAUGGAGCCGACCUUGAAAUACCACCCUUUAAUGUUUGAUGUUCUAACGUGGACCCGUAAUCCGGGUUGCGGACAGUGUCUGGUGGGUAGUUUGACUGGGGCGGUCUCCUCCUAAAGAGUAACGGAGGAGCACGAAGGUUGGCUAAUCCUGGUCGGACAUCAGGAGGUUAGUGCAAUGGCAUAAGCCAGCUUGACUGCGAGCGUGACGGCGCGAGCAGGUGCGAAAGCAGGUCAUAGUGAUCCGGUGGUUCUGAAUGGAAGGGCCAUCGCUCAACGGAUAAAAGGUACUCCGGGGAUAACAGGCUGAUACCGCCCAAGAGUUCAUAUCGACGGCGGUGUUUGGCACCUCGAUGUCGGCUCAUCACAUCCUGGGGCUGAAGUAGGUCCCAAGGGUAUGGCUGUUCGCCAUUUAAAGUGGUACGCGAGCUGGGUUUAGAACGUCGUGAGACAGUUCGGUCCCUAUCUGCCGUGGGCGCUGGAGAACUGAGGGGGGCUGCUCCUAGUACGAGAGGACCGGAGUGGACGCAUCACUGGUGUUCGGGUUGUCAUGCCAAUGGCACUGCCCGGUAGCUAAAUGCGGAAGAGAUAAGUGCUGAAAGCAUCUAAGCACGAAACUUGCCCCGAGAUGAGUUCUCCCUGACUCCUUGAGAGUCCUGAAGGAACGUUGAAGACGACGACGUUGAUAGGCCGGGUGUGUAAGCGCAGCGAUGCGUUGAGCUAACCGGUACUAAUGAACCGUGAGGCUUAACCUUACAACGCCGAAGGUGUUUUG
rnacentral:rRNA from 1 species